rnacentral:sRNA from 1 species
GCGCGGAAAUGCUCAAUUGCCCUGAGCUUUUUGUCUCUUGAUUUGUUAGAGAUGCAUGCACUGCCCGUAUCCAAUCUGUCAAUUACAGACACACAGGCAAAGACUCCGCGAGCCAGAUGCAACCCCACGAUCAGGGGUAGAAUCCAGUCGGCGAGUGGCUUGAUUGUUGCGGCGUAGACGCAUUUGAGCCGUCUUGGCCGACCAACAUACGGCUGUUCAAGCUUCGGAUUGGCUGGCGGGUAGUUAUUUUUAGGACCGGAUGCUUUUCUUCAACAGUACACAAGGAGGAGAGCACGGGUACCAGGCGGAUGCAGGGAAUGUUGCAACAAAGAGGAGAGGGGGAACGAGAACUCAGAGGAUCGAAAAAAGCAACCAGCUAGGUCAGAUUGAGUCGCGAUUCCCGCUUGCUCCGGAGGCCUGGAGACGAUUUGAACGGUGCUCGCUAGCCGACAUGAUGCAUAGCAGGGCAGUAGUAACCAUUCAGGCAAUUCUACUACAGUGGGGCAACAUAUCCAGUGCCUCGCAGGUUGAGAUG